ACUGCCCAUGCUCAUACCUAUCCUUUAGUCUACUCAUUUUAAAUUAUUGUUCUUUCCUUGCCAUGUUGAAUCUGAAAAGAGAAAAAAGAAAAUAUUUUGUUAAAUGCUGACCACUCUCCCAACGGGGCCUCAGGGCUUAAAAAGAAAAAAAAUAUUUCAUUAAAUGUUGGAACCAUGUAUCCCGUCUUUCAUUCUCCUCGUCUCAAAAUAAUACUCUCGUAGCACCUUGUUGGAUCUCAAAAAUUAAUUUUUUUUUAUUAAUUGCCGGGACCGAUAUCUAUGCUAUUCUCUGUUCCUCUAGCAGGAGCUACCCCUUGUCUCCAUUGCAAUAGCACCAUGU
rnacentral:lncRNA from 1 species